rnacentral:lncRNA from 1 species
GGCAUCUUCACACACAAAAGGUGCUCUUAUAUCGGGGCGUCUGGGUGACUCCAAGUUGAGUGUCCGACUCUUGAUUUCAGCUCAGGUCACGAUCUCACAGUUCGUGGGUUCGAGCCCUGCAAUGGGGCUCUGCACUGACAGAGGCUCCGCUAGGGAUUCUCUCCCUCUCUCCUCUCUCUCUGCCCCCCCCCUGCUUGUACUCUCUCUCUCUCUCUCUCUCAAAAUAAAUAAACUUUAAAAAAGUACUCUCAUAAAAUGGACUGUGGUCGCCGUAUUUGCGAAUUCCAUGAAACAUCAUCUGCUGAAGCCCAGAUACUAAAACCAUCCAAUGCUUUUAAGUUAAAGAUAUCACAUUAACUUUAUUUGUUAGUGUUUUUAAAGCUACAGAAUAACAAAGAAACUCUGUUCCUGUACUAAUUUUGUUUUUUAGAGCUGCAUUUAUUAGAUGUUUUUAUAGCACUGAGAGUUGUCAUAGGCUUUGCAAGCUGCAAUAUUGUUCCAAAUAAACAAAUUCAAGUCUUGCCCUAGGAUAUUACAGACAAACAACACAGAAAUCUUUCUUGUUUUCCUUUUCAUUUAGAUUAUCCGACAGGCUUUUAGGACUGCUUGUUGAUGGUAUGAAUCUGAACAGUGGAGGCCCCCAGAGGGGAGGGAAAUGUGAGUUUUGAAUAUGACUUUUCUACUAAACAAAUGAAAUGGAAUGGAAAUCCAUUGUAAUAAACUCCACAGGGCAUGCCUGUUCUCUUGGUGCAGCAAAAGUCCUUUGUAAUGACUGUGCGGUUGGCACUCAAAGUCCUUGCUUACAGUGACUAAAAAUGAAAUGGUACAAGGAGAAAAAAGAAGUGCCUGGAACCCAGUAGGGGGAAGUGGGCAGCUGGCUUGUCAUUCAAAAUCUCUCUCUCCCUCAUCGUGGCCGGUUCUGUCUAGAUGCCACCGUGGCAUUAGAGGAAGGUGCAGUCCUGUCGCGGAGGUCUCAAUCUUUUCUGUGACUGGCUUUGACACAGGGUUGCUGUCUGUAGAUGUUGGGGAGGCACCAUCAGAGAGAGAGGGAUGCUGGGACCAUACCCUCGUAGAGACAGGGGUACUGUGGACACACUCUCAGAGAGAAGGAUGCUGGGAACGUCUUCAGAGAGAGGGAUGCUGGGGACACACCCUCAGAGAGAGCUGCUCGCCCUCGGAGAACCAGGACCUGUGACUACCUGUCCACGGAAGCCUGAUUCAGAAGUUUGAGUGCAGAAAGGGACCAUCCUGAGGCGUUGUAGCAUUAGACGGCACUGUCAGCAAAUGUUGUUAAUUAUCUGAUCAACAUAGGUAUGAUGGAUUUUCAAUCUUAUUUAAAGUUUAAACUGUCUCCAGAAAGCUGGGUAACAUGCUUUGUUAUUCCACGUAAAUCUCUAACGUGUCUACACAGCUCUCCGCGUGUCUGCUCAUUAUGUGGGGGGAGAAACCUCUUGGCACUUUUAAUGCUUCUCCCCAAAGAACACCUCUAACCAAGCGAAAGCAAUCUGAUUCCCCAGCUGGAAUGAUGUAAGUGGAAUUAAAUAUUUUUAAAUGAUGUCUUGAUAGUUGUUGAAAUUCCUGAGCCUCUGCUGUGACUUGACAGCUUGGUAAUUGCUAAUUUGCUUUUAUGCUAAUUGAACCGGAUCCUACUUGACGGG